rnacentral:rRNA from 1 species
GCAUAUCAAUAAGCGGAGGAAAAGAAAACAACAGUGAUUUCCUUAGUAAUGGCGAAUGAAACGGAAACAGCCCAUCGCCGAACGGCAGGCCCUCUCGGUCUCGCUGAAUGUGGCGUUUGGGAGAGUCUUAUCGCGGUGUGGACGGCCAGUCAAAGUCCAACUUGACAGUGGCCAUGGCCCAUAGAGGGUGCUAGGCCCGUAAGGCGGCUGUCCCACUGUGCUGACUUUUCCCUAGAGUCGGAUUGCUUGGGAGUGCAGUCCAAAGUGCGAGGUAAACUCCUCGUAAGGCUAAAUAUGACCCCGAGUCCGAUAGCAAACAAGUACCGUGAGGGAAAAUUGAAAAGAACUUUGAAGAGAGAGUUCAAGAGUACGUGAAACCGUCUAGCGGUAAAGAGAGGGGUUCUCGAAGUUUCUGAGGGGGACUCAACCUUGGUGGUGCUUGGCCUGGGCGUAUUUGAUCAGCAAUGACUUUGCGUUUAGUCCCGAGUACCUCCCGGAUGCACUUUCUCCUCAGUUUACGGCAGGAACCGUUAGGAGCGGACUGAAGGCUCAGGGUGAAGUUGUCGGUUAUGCUGGCAGCCCUUGGUGUCCUAGCUUCGCAUCUGACGGGUAUGUAAGUAAACUCGUAUAGCGAGCAAUUCUCUAUUGCGGUUUGCAUCUCUCUGCCGAGUAGGUCGGUGGCCCCUCUCACCCGUCUUGAAACACGGACC